CUUUCCUCAGGUGUGUCUGCAGAGACUGUAGGACGUGCUGAUAUUAGCUUGGCCAUCCUUGGCCCUGGGUUGCAUAGUCCUUCCUGCUGAGAAAUAGCCGUGCUUACUGGUGCCCAGAAAACAGCAGAAUGGUACCCACCGUCCUCAAAAGAAGGCAGAAUCUAGGAAAUGGCUAAGGGAUAUAACCAGUACCCAGGGUCAAGAAAGCUAUCUUCCUAAGAAAAUUCCAGAAGACAAGACCACACACUCAAAGAAGAUUUACAUUACUUUGGAUAAAAACGACCACAUGAAAUAUGAGCUCUCAUACAGUGAGAGGGCUGUAGAGAGCGGCACGACCACCCCAUUGCUGCCUCCCUGCCUCUCUCUCCUAUGGGCACAUGAUGCACCUGCCUACAUUAACCAUAAUCCUCUCCUGCUUAUGUCACAUACCCGGACGUGACGAUGACCUAUCAGAAACCACCUCAUAGCCUCUUCCUGUCCUACCAACCCACGCUUGGCCCAUAAAGGAUACAACCACUUCCUGAAUAAACAAGGCUUGAUCGGA